AAGUGGAGCAAUCCAUGAGUAAAGUGGCGCACGGGUGAGUAACACGUGACUAACCUACCCUCGAGUGGGGAAUAACUUCGGGAAACCGAGGCUAACACCGCAUAACAUCUACGGAUCAAAUGCGUAAGCAGCUUGAGGAGGGGGUCGCGGCUGAUUAGCUAGUUGGCGGGGUAAUGGCCCACCAAGGCAAUGAUCAGUAGCCGGCCUGAGAGGGCGCACGGCCACACUGGAACUGAAACACGGUCCAGACUCCUACGGGAGGCAGCAGUGGGGAAUUUUGCGCAAUGGGGGAAACCCUGACGCAGCAACGCCGCGUGGAGGAUGAAGUCCUUCGGG
rnacentral:rRNA from 1 species